rnacentral:rRNA from 1 species
AGAGUUUGAUCCUGGCUCAGAACGUACGCUGGCGGCACGCCUAAUACAUGCAAGUCGAACGAAGUAGCAAUACUUAGUGGCAGACGGGUGAGUAACAUGUAGGUAUCUACCCUUUGGCCUGGAAUAACACGAGGAAACUUGUGCUAAUACCGGAUAAGUCUUUACGGAGAAAGCUUUAUGCACCAUUGGAUGAGCCUGCACUUGAUUAGUUUGUUGGUGGGGUAAUGGCCUACCAAGACAAUGAUCAAUAGCUGAUUUGAGAGGAUGAUCAGCCACAUUGGGACUGAGACACGGCCCAAACUCCUACGGGAGGCAGCAGUAGGGAAUCUUGCACAAUGGAGGAAACUCUGAUGCAGCGAUGCCGCGUGAGUGAAGAAGGCCUUUGGGUUGUAAAGCUCUUUCGUCGGGGAAGAAAAUGACUGUACCCGAAUAAGAAGGUCCGGCUAACUUCGUGCCAGCAGCCGCGGUAAUACGAAGGGACCUAGCGUAGUUCGGAAUUACUGGGCUUAAAGAGUUCGUAGGUGGUUAAAAAAGUUGGUGGUGAAAUCCCAGAGCUUAACUCUGGAACUGCCAUCAAAACUUUUUAGCUAGAGUAUGAUAGAGGAAAGCAGAAUUUCUAGUGUAGAGGUGAAAUUCGUAGAUAUUAGAAAGAAUACCGAUUGCGAAGGCAGCUUUCUGGAUCAUUACUGACACUG